AUGGGGAAGCGAAAGGAACCAGCCCCAUGGGGCGAGCCGCCGCGCCGCUGGGUCAGGGUCAGGCCCUGCUCCCGCCAUUUUCGGUGCGGACGGGGCUGCGGUGGCGGCCCCGUGCGGCCCGAGAAGGCGGACGGUAUGGCCUCCCACCUCGACUGCGGGGACGGGGCUCGCGCCCAGCAGCUCGUGGUCCUGCUUCCAGAAUAUUUGAAGGAUGCUUCAAAGAUGAAACAUGGGCUUAUGGAAGGAGCCAUUUACUUGUUCGAUAUGUAUCUACAACAGCUGUUUUAAGUAAAAGUUUUCAAGGAAAAACACCAUUCUUGGUUUAUAAAUCAAUCAGUUCAAUCCGGAGGUGCUCUGCACGUCGCCACCCCCGUGGACCCUCUGUUCCUGCUUCUGCACUAUCUCACCAAGGCUGGGAAGGAGGGAAAGUUUCAGCCCCUAGAACAAGUUGUGGUGGAUGACGUAUUUACCAAUUGCAUCUUGUUGCUAAAACUUCCUCAACUUGAAAAAUCACUUCGCCACGUGACAGAGGAAAAAGAAAUAACCAACAAGAAAUACUACAAUAUAGCAAAGAGAAGACUUUAAAGUGGCUGGAAAAAAAGGUUAAUCAGACUGUGGUCACACUAAAAACUAAUAAUGUAAAUGUCAGUGCCUGGGUACUGUCGACUGCAUUUUUCUCCAGUGAUCAAGUUGCCAGUGACAAGGAAGAGGAUUACAUUCGCUGUGCCCAUGGUCUGAUAUCUGAGUACAUCCCUAAAGAAAUAAGUGAUGCCUUAUCUAAACACCUCCAGCUUCCAGAGCUUCCAGCUUCAUGGCCAAAUCCUCCAUCAAAGAAAAUAAAGUUAUCAGAUGAACCUGUAGAAGCCAAAGAAGAUUACACUAAGUUUAACAGUAAAGAUUUGAAGACCGAGAAGAAAAAUUAAAAAAUGACUGCAGCUCAGAAGGCUUUGACUAAAGUUGACAAGAGUGGAAUAAAAAGUAUUGAUACCUUUUUUGGUGCAAAAGUUAAAAAAAAAACUGGAAAGAUUUGAAAAGUUGAGAGUGAAAUCUAACAGAAAUACUUGCUUUGUCUAUGUUUCAUUUCUGUCCUCUGACUACCUUUGGGGUGAGG